rnacentral:lncRNA from 1 species
UUUCCGAUCUGCUGAUAAGUCUCUGGCUGGAACAUUAAUGGCUAAACUUACCACCAUGAAAUUUGAUGGUACUUGUGGGAUGCAUGAGCAUAUCCUUGAAAUGACAAAUAUAGCUGCUAAGCUGAAGGCUCUUGGGAUGGAUGUGAAUGAAUUCUUUUUAGUUCAAUUUAUUUUGAACUCCUUGCCUCCUCAAUUUGGAUCAUUUCAAAGUGUUAAUGUUGUAAGCAUUUUCUUAUUGUUAAUUUUCUUAGUGCAGUAUCUAUUUCUGUUUCGCUUCAUUCGCAAGCUUCAUCUGUUACGAUCUUUAAUGUAACUAAUUUCUCAGAGUGGAAUGAACAAGUCCAGUUUCACUUAGGUGUUUUGGAUCUUGAUUUAGCACUCCGAUCUGAGAAACUGGCUGACAUUACUGAUUUGAGCAGCUCGGAAGAAAGGUCUUUUUAUAAGACUUGGAAAAGAUCGAACAGAUUGAGCAUUAUGUUUAUGCGGAUGAGUAUAGCGAACAAUAUCAAGUCAACGCUUCCUGAAUGUGACAGUGCUCAAGCAUUAUUGAAAACUGUGGAAGAACGUUUCCGAUCUGCUGAUAAGUCUCUGGCUGGGACAUUAAUGGCUAAACUUACCACCAUAAAAUAUGAUGGUACUUGUGGGAUGCAUGAGCAUAUUCUUGAAAUGACAAAUAUAGCA